rnacentral:rRNA from 1 species
UUACGGGAGGCAGCAGUAGGGAAUGUUGCGCAAUGGGCGAAAGCCUGACGCAGCAACGCCGCGUGAGGGACGAAGGCCUUCGGGUCGUAAACCUCUUUCCUGAGGGACGAGACAAGGACGGUACCUCAGGAAUCAGUCUCGGCUAACUACGUGCCAGCAGCCGCGGUAAAACGUAGGAGGCGAGCGUUAUCCGGAUUUACUGGGCGUAAAGCGCACGCAGGUGGCACGGCAAGUCGGUUGUGAAAGCUCCUGGCUUAACUGGGAGAGGCCAAGCGAAACUGUCGAGCUUGAGGUUGGGAGAGGGGUGCGGAAUUCCCGGUGUAGCGGUGGAAUGCGUAGAUAUCGGGAGGAACACCAGUGGCGAAGGCGGCACCCUGGCCCACACCUGACGCUGAGGUGCGAAAGCGUGGGGAGUAAACAGGAUUAGAUACCCUCGUAC